rnacentral:misc_RNA from 1 species
UCAACCUCUCAAGCUUGGCUUGUCGUUGGACCUUGCAUAUGCCGGUGAUCGGCGGGGGCGCAGGUCUUCAACCUAGUGGCGGAGUUCGGUAUGGACCCCGGAUACAACGAGCUCUCUCUAGCAUGUAUCAAGGUGGCCCGCCGGCCUAGCCUCGUCGAAAAGUCUUAACCAU